rnacentral:rRNA from 1 species
CUAAUUCUCACCGUCGAACGGCAGCACAGGAAGAGCUUGCUUUCUGGGUGGCGAGUGGCGGACGGGUGAGGAAUACAUCGGAAUCUACUCUGUCGUGGGGGAUAACGUAGGGAAACUUACGCUAAUACCGCAUACGACCUACGGGUGAAAGCAGGGGACCUUCGGGCCUUGCGCGAUUGAAUGAGCCGAUGUCGGAUUAGCUAGUUGGCGGGGUAAAGGCCCACCAAGGCGACGAUCCGUAGCUGGUCUGAGAGGAUGAUCAGCCACACUGGAACUGAGACACGGUCCAGACUCCUACGGGAGGCAGCAGUGGGGAAUAUUGGACAAUGGGCGCAAGCCUGAUCCAGCCAUACCGCGUGGGUGAAGAAGGCCUUCGGGUUGUAAAGCCCUUUUGUUGGGAAAGAAAUCCAGCUGGCUAAUACCCGGUUGGGAUGACGGUACCCAAAGAAUAAGCACCGGCUAACUUCGUGCCAGCAGCCGCGGUAAUACGAAGGGUGCAAGCGUUACUCGGAAUUACUGGGCGUAAAGCGUGCGUAGGUGGUCGUUUAAGUCCGUUGUGAAAGCCCUGGGCUCAA